CCAAUGGGCUCCUAGGGCAGGACAUGCAUGGCUAAGGAAUGUAGUAAUAAGGUGAAAAUGGACAGAAGAGGGAUUGAAGGAAAGAGAAGAAAAGGGAGAAACUAAGGACAAGGGCUUCAGAUGAAGAGCUCCUAAACACCCCUAAAGACUACCAGUUACACAGCUAUAGGAAGAUAAGGACUGUGCCUGUCCUGUUGCCUGCUUAAUCUCCAG